GGUCCGGCUAAUUACGUGCCAGCAGCCGCGGUAAUACGUAAGGACCGAGCGUUGUCCGGAAUCAUUGGGCGUAAAGAGUACGUAGGCGGUAUGAUAAGUUAGGAGUAAAAGGCACCGGCUCAACCGGCGUAAGCUUUUAAAACUGUCAUACUUGAGACAUUGAGGGGAAAGUGGAAUUUCUAGUGUAGCGGUGAAAUGCGCAGAUAUUAGGAAGAAUACCAGAGGCGAAAGCGACUUUCUAGCGAUGAUCUGACGCUGAGGUACGAAAGCGUGGGAAGCAAACAGGAUCAGAUACCCUGGUAGUCCACGCUGUAAACGAUGAGUGCAAGGUGUUGGGGGUCAAACCUCGGUGCCGCCGUUAACACAGUAAGCACUCCGCCUGGGGAGUACGUACGCA
rnacentral:rRNA from 1 species